CUGUCUGUGUGUUGAGAAAAUAUUGUGAGUGAGGGGCAGAGGCACUUCCUUGAGCCUGAGGCUUAUUAAUUUCACUUUUGGUGUGAAAGGGCCUUUACAGUUGCCAAAAAUAGA